rnacentral:rRNA from 1 species
AAACCUCAAAGUGGUUUAGAAUGUACUUUUUAUUUUUUGCGGUGAUUCGCAAUCAAUACAACUUUCAACAACGGAUCUCUUGGCUCUCGCAUCGAUGAAGAACGCAGCGAAAUGCGAUACGUAAUGUGAAUUGCAGAAUUCAGUGAAUCAUCGAAUCUUUGAACGCACCUUGCGCCCCUUGGCAUUCUGAGGGGCACACCCGUUUGAGUGUCGUGAAAUUCUCAAAAUCCCUUUCUUUGAUUGUUUCAAUCAGGAAAAGGAUUUUGGACUUGGAGGAUCAAUGCUCACUCUCACUUUCUUUUUGAAAGUGAGCUCCUCUUAAAUGAAUUAGUGGGGGUUUGCUUUGCUGAUCCUUGACGUGAUAAGGUGAUUCUACGUUUUGGAUUUAGCACUGUCCCUUUAGAACACCCGCUUCUAAUUGUCUUAUGGACAAUGAUGGUGUUCCGGUCAUCGGCUGGACCCACACAAGAAAAAACCUUGACCUCAAAUCGGGUGAGACUACCCGCUGAACUUAAGCAUAUCAAUAAGCGGAGGAAAAGAAACUAACAAGGAUUCCCCUAGUAACUGCGAGUGAAGCGGGAAAAGCUCAAAUUUAAAAUCUG